rnacentral:tRNA from 1 species
GCCCCUGUAAGUCAGAAACGCAUAAUUUCCCUCAAAAAAGGGCGGUUAGAGUAGAAGACUCAUAAUCUUUUGGUCCCUGGUUCGAGCCCAGGUGGGCGCA